GACGAACGCUGGCGGCGUGCUUAACACAUGCAAGUCGAACGGAAAGGCCCUGCUUUUGUGGGGUGCUCGAGUGGCGAACGGGUGAGUAACACGUGAGUAACCUGCCCUUGACUUUGGGUAACUUCAGGAAACUGGGGCCAAUACCGGAUAGGAGCCCCUGCUGCAUGGGUGGGGGUGGAAAGGUUUCGGCGGUUGGGGAUGGACUCGCGGCUUAUCAGCUGGUUGGUGGGGUAGUGGCUUACCAAGGCUUUGACGGGUAGCCGGCCUGAGAGGGUGACCGGCCACAUUGGGACUGAGAUACGGCCCAGACUCCUACGGGAGGCAGCAGUGGGGAAUAUUGCACAAUGGGCGGAAGCCUGAUGCAGCAACGCCGCGUGCGGGAUGACGGCCUUCGGGUUGUAAACCGCUUUCGCCUGUGACGAAGCGUGAGUGACGGUAAUGGGUAAAGAAGCACCGGCUAACUACGUG
rnacentral:rRNA from 1 species